GAUGAACGCUGGCGGCGUGCCUAAUACAUGCAAGUCGAGCGAACGGACGAGAAGCUUGCCUCUCUGAUGUUAGCGGCGGACGGGUGAGUAACACGUGGAUAACCUACCUAUAAGACUGGGAUAACUUCGGGAAACCGGAGCUAAUACCGGAUGAUAUUUUGAACCGCAUGGUUCAAAAGUGAAAGACGGUCUUGCUGUCACUUAUAGAUGGAUCCGCGCUGCAUUAGCUAGUUGGUAAGGUAAUGGCUUACCAAGGCAACGAUGCAUAGCCGACCUGAGAGGGUGAUCGGCCACACUGGAACUGAGACACGGUCCAGACUCCUACGGGAGGCAGCAGUAGGGAAUCUUCCGCAAAGGGCGAAAGCCUGACGGAGCAACGCCGCGUGAGUGAUGAAGGUCUUCGGAUCGUAAAACUCUGUUAUUAGGGAAGAACAUAUGUGUAAGUAACUGUGCACAUCUUGACGGUACCUAAUCAGAAAGCCACGGCUAACUACGUG
rnacentral:rRNA from 1 species